rnacentral:lncRNA from 1 species
GGUGGCGGGCGCCUAUAAUCCCAGCUCCUUGGGAGGCUGAGGCAGGAUACUUGCUUGAGCCCGGCAGGUGGAGGUUGCAGUGAGCUGAGAUUGAGCCAUUUCACUCCAGCCUGGGCGACAAGAGUGAAACUCCGUUCCCUGUCCCCACCCGCCCCGCCAAAAAAAAAAAAAAAAAAAAGUUAUUUCCCAGAUGUACGACUUGUUGUUCAGAAACGUAGAAAGCAUGAAGCUCCUCUGUUCCAUUUCAUCAAGUUUUCUAACGUCAAUGGCACAUGAAAGUAGAAAAAACAAGCUACUGAAAAAAGUAGUGCCUGAUGUUACUUAUAAAUAUGAAAAAUUGCUGAAUAAACAAUGAAAAAGGCUGGGCGCGAUGGCUCACGGCUGUAGUAAUCCUAGUACUUUGGGAGGCCGAGGGUGGAUCGCCUGAUCUCAGGAGUUCGAGACCAGCCUGGCUAACAUGGUGAAACCACGUCUCUACUAAAAUGUAAAAAAUUAGCUGGGCGUGGCGGCGUGCGCCUGUAUUCCCAGCUACUCUGGAGGCUGAGGCAGGAGAAUCACUUGAACUCGGGAGACGGAGGUUGCAGUGAGCCGAGAUCGCGCCAUUGCACUCCAGUCUGGGCAGCAGAGUGAGACUCUGUCGAGUCAAAAGAAUCUGCUCUCUGAAUGUAAAAGUAAGUGGACAAUGGGAAAAGAGAGUUGAACAGUGAAGAUAAAAGUAAAAUGAAAUGAAAAGAGGUAAUGCUGGAAGUAAAAGUUGAAACAAAAGUAAAUGGAGUUACAGAAGAAACAACUGACCAUGGGGCUGACACUACUGACACUAGAUACGCAGCCAGAGGAACUUAGUGAAGGUGAGCUUAUCAGUACAAAGGAGGAGAGAGGUUAUGAUAUAAAGGACAAAGAUGUCCCAGAGUAAGUGACAUUGGCGAAACAUCGCUUCACAUUACAGGGCUUUCAGAAAUACUGCAUGACCAAAGAUGCAAAGGAUUAAAUGUGAGCAUCUGAUCCAGACUUAGAAAGGAGCGUGGAGCGUGACCUCAAGUUUCUCUUCCUCUUCUUAUAAAGCCACCAGUCCCUCUCCCAUGACAGUCCAUUAAUCCAGUAGCCUAUUAACCUGUGCUUGUUUGUUUAGAGAUGGGGUCUUACUCUGUUCUAGCUUUGUUGCCCAGGCUGGUCUCGAACUCCUAGCUUCAAGUGAUCCUCCUGCCUUGCCUCCCAGAGUGCUGGAAGCCAUCCACCAUGUGUCAUCACACCUGGCCUAACCUAUUAAUCUAUGAAUGAAUGAAUUCACUCAUGAAGGUAGAGCCUUCAUGACUCAAUCAUCUCCUAAAAUCCACUACACAUGCUGUUGUUGUUGAGUGCUAAUUGCCUGGGAACAAUAAAAAUACAUACUUUGUACCCCAAAUUGUCGGGUCCUCUAUACUAAGGUCAAAUGUGUAGUGGUCAUUCAUACACAUUUUAGUGUGCCACAAAGCUUCCCAUAACCCCCCAUUGUCUCGCUGCAGAGUUAACUUCAGUUGGGAUGUGAGCCCAAUGCUUUAUCAGCAUCUGAAGUAAUUUUUUGUUUUAAUCUUGUGUGACAUCUGUCCAUCCAUAAAGACAAAGGUUUAAGUUCUUUUAUACAUUACACUAGGAGAUAGCUGCCACUAUUUGUUUUCCAUUAUACUCAGGAACCUAAGCAUUUGGCCAUCAGAUUAAUGACACAAUGAUUAGUCUGCCUGCCUGAUAUGACUGUACAUCAUAGCUGCCAGAAGGGAGAAACUCUCCGAGAUCCCUCCUUAAUUGCAAUCUAAUUGAUAUGUCCUGUAAAACAAGAACCAAAAGACUUAAGGGACAUUAAGAGAGUCCUGCUUAGUCUGUCUACUGGGCAGCGCCGGGGCCUGCGGCUGCACAGGAGCCGGAGCCGGGAGCCGCGCUCCGCCAAGAGUUGGGCAGACGCCCCCCCUCCCCUGGUUGUCAUGGGCCCCCUCUCGGGGCCUCAGCGGGCACCAGCCGCGGGAACCCCCGGGCCUCCUCGCGCCCGAGCCUGAGCGACCCUCGGGUUCUCCGGCGCCCCCUCCCUCGCCCUAUUUUUUUCCUGCUCUCGCUACCGCUACCGCUUCUGCUCUCGGUUAUGGCAAAAGAGCCACCAUCACCCCUCCGGGUCGAGGCGCCAGCCCCCCGGAAAUGCGGGCCCCACCGGCGAUCGAGGCCAUCCCUGAGGGCACCGGGCAGCCGGCGGGCGGCAGACUCCGCCUCCUCAACGGCUAAGUGCCCCUCUCGUAUCAGGUGGCCGGACACAUGAACGGGAAGGACAAAGUGGGUAUACUGCAACACUCAGAUGGCACAGCUUUGAAACAGUUACAACCACCUCCAAGGGGCCCAAGAGAGCAUACGGUUUAUGCUGCUGACUGUUCUGAUGGUGUUCUUCUAGAGCUACGAAAAUAUUUGCCAAAAUAUGGCAUCUGGUCACCUCCCACUGCACCAAACGAUUUAUACCUAAAACUGGAAGAUGUGACACAUAAAUUUAAUAAGCCCUGUAUAAUGAAUAUAAAGAUAGGGCAAAAAAGCUAUGAUCCUUUUGCCUCAUCUGAGAAGAUUCAGCAAGUACCCAUUAAUGGAAGAGAUUGGGUUUCUUGGUGCUUGGCAUGAGGGUUUACCAUGUUCAUUCCGAUAGCUAUGAUAUACAAAACCAGCAUUAUGGAAGAAGCUUAACAAAAGGAACUACAAAGGAUGGAGUCUCCGGAUUUUUUCAUAAUGGGUACUGCUUAAGAAAAGAUGCUGUUGCUGCCAGUAUUCAGAAGAUUGAGAAAAUUCUGC